rnacentral:rRNA from 1 species
GGGCAGCAGCAAGGAAUAUUGGGCAAUGGGCGAAAGCCUGACCCAGCGACACCGCGUGAAGGAAGAAGGCCUUCGGGUUGUAAACUUCUUUUCCCAGGGAAGAAUAAUGACGGUACCUGGGGAAUAAGCCCCGGCUAACUACGUGCCAGCAGCCGCGGUAAUACGUAGGGGGCGAGCGUUAUCCGGAUUUACUGGGCGUAAAGGGGGCGUAGGCGGCUUGUCAAGUCGGACGUGAAAUCUCCCGGCUUAACUGGGAGGGUGCAUUCGAUACUGAUGGGCUAGAGUGCAGCAGAGGGAAGUGGAAUUCCCGGUGUAGUGGUGAUAUGCGUAGAUAUCGGGAGGAACACUAGUGGCGAAGGCGGCUUCCUGGGCUGUUACUGACGCUGAGGCCCGAAGGCGUGGGGAGCAAACAGGAUUAGAUACCCUUGUAGUC